CACGAAAGUGUGACGGGGCCAUCCCGAGUGCCAUCCGCUGAGGAUGGCUUUUCCCCAGUGUAUAAAGCUGGGGGAAUAAGGAGAGGGCAAGCCUGGUGUCAGCCGCCGCGGUAAUACCAGCUCUCCGAGUGGUGGGGAUGCUUAUUGGGCCUAAAGCAUUCGUAGCCUGCUUGGCAAGUCCUCCGUUAAAUCCAACGAUUCAAUCGUUGGGCUGCGGGGGAUACUGUCCGGCUAGGGGGCGGGAGAGGCCGACGGUAUCCUCGGGGUAGGGGUGAAAUCCUAUAAUCCCGGGAGGACCACCAGUGGCGAAGGCUGUCGGCUAGAACGCGCUCGACGGUGAGGGAUGAAAGCUGGGGGAGCGAACCGGAUUAGAUACCCGGGUAGUCCCAGCUGUAAACGAUGCAGGCUAGGUGUUGGCGCGGCUACGUGCCGCUCCAGUGCCGCAGGGAAGCCAUUAAGCCCGCCGCCUGGGGAGUACGGCACGAAAGUGCACGAAAGUGCACGAAAGUGCACGAAAGUG
rnacentral:rRNA from 1 species